rnacentral:rRNA from 1 species
UACGUAGGGUGCGAGCGUUAAUCGGAAUUACUGGGCGUAAAGCGUGCGCAGGCGGUUCGUUGUGUCGGCGGUGAAAGCCCCGGGCUUAACCUGGGAAUGGCCGUUGAAACUGGCGAACUGGAGUGUGGCAGAGGGGGGUGGAAUUCCGCGUGUAGCAGUGAGAUGCGUAGAGAUGCGGAGGAACACCGAUGGCGAAGGCAGCCCCCUGGGCUAACACUGACGCUCAGGCACGAAAGCGUGGGGAGCAAACAGG